AAAACUCGUUAGCAACUGAUUCUAUAUUUACACCAUUAACAAAUUACAAUUAAAUUACUUUUUUGAUUGUUUAUCCCAUUGAACACCUAUAUAAAUGAAAAUGUUAUCGUCAAAUUGUAUUUAGUGUGAGCAUAACUCUUUUUCUUCGUUAGAAAAUGAUUCAAAUUGUGGUAAUCACGAUCCUUUUGGCACUUUCGGCGGUGGAAGCAAAGAGGAAAUUUACGAACGCCCAUAGUGGAGUCGAUAUUGAUGAAUAUCAGACUCCGACCGAAUAUCUCGACGUUCAGAGAUUACCUCACAUUGUGAAGGCAGAACCGUUUCGCAUCCACGAGGAGUUUAUUGAUACAGAUGAAUUUGUGUUACGACGUCCCGUCGCCACUUAAAAGUUUAUCUAAUUACAAUAAUAAAAUUAAUUUUGGUUGAA